rnacentral:rRNA from 1 species
AGUGGACGCUGGCGGUAGGCCUAACACAUGCAAGUCGAACGGCAGCACAGUAAGAGCUUGCUCUUACGGGUGGCGAGUGGCGGACGGGUGAGGAAUACAUCGGAAUCUACUUUUUCGUGGGGGAUAACGUAGGGAAACUUACGCUAAUACCGCAUACGACCUACGGGUGAAAGCAGGGGAUCUUCGGACCUUGCGCGAUUGAAUGAGCCGAUGUCGGAUUAGCUAGUUGGCGGGGUAAAGGCCCACCAAGGCGACGAUCCGUAGCUGGUCUGAGAGGAUGAUCAGCCACACUGGAACUGAGACACGGUCCAGACUCCUACGGGAGGCAGCAGUGGGGAAUAUUGGACAAUGGGCGCAAGCCUGAUCCAGCCAUACCGCGUGGGUGAAGAAGGCCUUCGGGUUGUAAAGCCCUUUUGUUGGGAAAGAAAAGCAGCAGGUUAAUACCCCGCUGUUAUGACGGUACCCAAAGAAUAAGCACCGGCUAACUUCGUG